GCACAGCCUCGGCUCCAGAACCACUCUCCUUGAUAGGGGUUGAGCCUUAUUCUUCUCUGGAGUUGCCCAGGCUGUGAGGCGCCGGGCGGGUGUGGAGAUACUCACGAGUGCCCGGCUGAGUGCCGCUACGUUGGCAUUUACCCCGGUAGAUGAGCGGGUCGCCUCCCUGUGCCUUUGGGUUGCAGGGGUGGAAACUCUGA